AAUAAAUAUAGUUUUACACUAUUCACAUUCUUGUUCAUCUUAUUUAAAUUUUUUUAAUAAUUAUUAUUUUUAUUGCUAUUAGAUGAUAAAACAUGAAUAGUACUUUAUGUGUAACUAAAUAUUUUCAAAUUUUUUAUAAAAUUUUCUAAUAAGACGGACGGUCAAAUGUUGGGCACGGAUAUUCACGGCUGCAUUUAUU
rnacentral:pre_miRNA from 1 species